rnacentral:lncRNA from 1 species
UGUCUGUUAGUACGUUUGCCGAGUGUCCGUUUGUGGAAACACUCGGCAAACAAAUACACUCGGCAAAAGAGACAAAAACAUUCGGCAAAGAAAGGCACUCGGCAAAGAACGUGCCACGUGUACAACUGUCAUCAUGUUUGCCGAGUGUAAACCUGUGGCACUCGGCAAAUAAUUUUAUUUUUUCUCUUCUAACCUUGAAACAUUU